UCUGUGACAUAUCUACAAUGGCCUGGCUCUCUCUCCUGUUCCCCUUCAUCUCUUUCUGCACAGGUUCCAUGGCCUCCUAUGUACUGACCCAACCUUCUUCACUAUCAGUGGCCUUAGGUCAAACGGCCACUAUAUCCUGUUCUGGAGAUAAACUCUCAGAUAAAUAUGUUCAGUGGUACCAGCAGAAGGAAGGCCAUGCCCCUGUGCUGGUCAUAUAUAAAGAUGAUAAACGCCCGGAUGGCAUCCCAGACCAAUUUUCAGGCUCCAACUCAGAUAACAAGGCCACCCUGACCAUCCGCAAUAUCCAGGCUGAAGAUGAAGCUGACUACUACUGUCAGAUUUGGGAUAGCACAAGUAGUGCUCACAUUACAGUUUCCUCCACUCUACUCAUUUUAAGGACAAGGGAUGAAUGUGAAUUAAAGGUCCAGGUCAUGAGGAAGCAGGUCGUGACUGUCUCUAAUGAGAGUAUCACAGGAUCAGAAUUCAUUGGUAUCCUUACAAUUCUUCUUCCGGAGAUAGCAUAUGAUGAGUUGAGAGGGAUUCAGGCCCAGCAGCUGGACCACUGUGAUCGCUUGGGCAGACUCAGGAGGAAGUGUCACCCAGAUUUUAAUGGCACAAACACCUAA